AGAGACAAUGCUGGUAGGACGGCAACUGGACAGCCGUUUUGGAAACCACUUGGCCGCAUCUGCUGAGCUGAACCUGAGCCCCCACAGCACCCAGCAAUCCCACCCCUGAGUGCAGGCGUCGCGGACACAUGCACAGAAGCUCACCAAAGAUUCAGAGAUACAUUCUGGAAGGUUGGGGAGCGCCUCAAACUGGGAACCACCCAUACAUCCAUCGCAGUGGACGGAGAAAUAAACCCGGGGUAUUGACACAGUGGAUUUUCACAGCAGCAGGAACGGAAGUAGAACAGACACGCGGCAGCCACAGUGAGUCUCACAAACAAUGUGGAACAGAAGGCGCCAGACAGAAAGAACUUUCUCUAGGAUGACAUGUCCAUAGGCGGCAAACACAGGCAAAGGGACCCAGGCAGGCCAGAGUUUUGUUCCUUUUUCCACUCUUUCUUCGUCUUCCCUCCUCCCCUCCCUCCCCCCGUUCCUCCUUCCUCCCUUCCUUUCUUCCAGGUUUGGGAUCUGUCCGCCUACCCACUUCCCCUCCCCCGCAGCUUUUUCUCUGUAUCAGGAAAGACUACCCUUGGAGUUCCUGUCAUGGCUGAGUGGUAACAAAUCUGACUAGUAUCCAUGAGGACACAGGUUCGAUCCCUGGCCUCGCUCUCUGGGUUAAGGAUCCAGCGUUGCUGCGAGCUGCGAUGUAGGUCGAAGACGUGGCUGGGAUCCCGCAUGGCUGUGGCUGUGGCUUCUAUAGCUCCAAUUCGACCCCUAGCCUGGGUGUGGCCCUAAGAGACAACCCCAACCCCAGACCCACAAAAAAACAAAAAGGAGCGAAUACCCUUCAAAAGGAUGUGACCCAUCACUACACAAAGGCUUGGAAGUGGUUUGUACCUAUGGUGAGUUUAAGCCCUUGUGUUUCGGAGUCUCUUAGCUUUUUCACAAAUCAGAGUAGGUUCCAGGUUGUUGUCAGACUCGGCGGCUCUGAAGGGUUUGCCUGGGGGGACAUGAAGGGGUAGCGCUCACAUGACAGGAAGUGGAGGCCACGCCCUCCAGGUGGGCGUGCUCCUGGGGAGUCCGGCCGGCGGAUGUGGUCCAGGUGGGAGUUCCAGCAGACGACAAGCGUGAGAGGUCUGGUCUUCGAAGUGAUAUGCUGCAUCUUUUCAGUGACUGCAAACAGUUGGCUAUCUGGAUAGUUCCAUGGCUUAUGUAACCAAGUCUCUGUCAUUGGGGCCACGCUGCGUGGGUUCAGACCUGGGCCUCACCAGGUACUAGCAGUCAACUACGGACAAGUUAUUUAACUCCUUGGGGCCUCAGUUUUCUCCUCCAUAAAAUAAGUUCAAACAUUGCACAGACCACACGAGGUUGUUCUGAGAAUUAACUGCGUUGUUACUUGUAAAAGCACCUGCCGCGUCCCCAGAACACAGCCCGCAUCUGAAGUUUUCUGCUCUUUCUAGGUUGUUAAAAAGUGUCCCCCGUUUUAUCUGCCAGCUUUGGCUGCAAUAACGCUGAGGAAGAAGCAACCCAAGCCUCUCAGUGGCUUUCAGCGAGGGUUGGAUUCGUCUCUGGACUGUGGUUGGGUUCACCUCUGCCCUGUCUCUCCCCUCAUUUCAGAGCCCAGGAGGAAGAAGCAGGGCCCCCUGAGUCAUUUCCUCUGAGGGUGGAGGGCAGGAGAGUAGGGGGCCCACGUGAUGCUCUUAGGGUCAGAGCUUGCACCUGAGUCCUGUCCCUUUGGCCCACAUUCCAGGGCGCAAAGCCAGCCUUUGGACCAAGCCUGCUGUCAGUGAAGCCUAGAAGCUGGCUCCAUCCCCAAGGAACUGCAGUCAAAACCAUACGCCUUCCUACCUACUCUGUGUAACUUGGUUGUAAGGUCCCUCCCUGGAAACACUUGUGUCCCCACCCAAUUAAAUUCCCUGAAGGGUAAUUACUUGAGCAGCCAUAGGAGCACGUGGCUUCAGAAGAUGUUGCUGAAUUGCCCUCCAGAGGCAUUGACCAAAUUAUGCUCCAGCAAAAAGUGUACAAGCCUGACCUACGGACCCCAGCCAACACUGUGCAUUUUUUUUCCCCCAUCUCUGCUAAAUUAAUAGGGGAAGAUGACAAUGACGAUGUGAGCGAUGGCAGCACUGCAUUCUGUCUUCGGUUUGGAUUUUCACGGAGAGUUCUGCUGCGUGUGAAGUCAGAAGGAUCUCGGAGCGGUGCAGUCACCCGCAUGGGCACCCGCCUCACCCCCCGCACUGCGCUGGCGGAGAUGAGCCUCCCCCUGACCUGCGGCUCAGCCGAUGGAGCGUGCCAUGCGUGGGCAGUAGCUGAAAUGCACUCCGCUGGUUUGCUCCCCCUGUCCCCGCCCUGCCCUCCCCUCCACCCAGGGAACAGCACGUCCCGUCCUGGACAGCGGCUGCCCCUCCUCCUGGGAUCCCAGAUGAGAAGACAUGCAGCUGAGCCACAGCUUUCCUGAAUGAGACCAAGAAAUAAUGUUUCUCGGGAGUUCCCUGGUGGCUCAGCGGGUUAAGGGUCUGGUGUGGUCAUAACAGCAGAUUGGGCUGCUGCUGUGGCACUGUUUCCAUCCCUGGCCUGGGAACUUCCCCAUGCCUCGGGCAUGCCACCCCCUCCCCCUCAAAAAGGAAGAAAUAAUGUUUCUUGCUGC
rnacentral:lncRNA from 1 species